GGUGGCCUAGUGGUAAAUAGCGUCCGUCUCGGAUGCGGGAGGUCGCUGAUUCGAACCCCGGCCAAUUCA